UGCCUACCUCACCCACUAACAUCCCACAUCCAGAGGCCGACACGUCUGACUUACUCACCAUGCCACAUACAGAGGCUAACAUGUCUGACAUCCCAGAAGUCGACAAUUCUAAUAUUGUUACGACCACGCAAGGAGUUACAUUAAAUCUCGAAGAACUACUCAUAAGAGGAAAUGUGUUGAUAAAUAUACACCUCCAGCUCAAGUAAAGAAGAAAAGUGUGGAUUCUAGGGUACACCUUCCAUUUGAAAAGGUUAAGUAUCCUCUCUCGGGUGUGCCUCGUCACUAUUCAGAGUGAUUAUCAGGUACAAUGUAGCACAUGACGUUCCACUUGAUAUCUUUACACAAAUGAUGGGUGGAUCACAGAUGAGAAUAUCGAUAACAAGGUUCGAAAGAAUUCUUUUAAGCCAAUAUCGAAGCAAUUUUUCAAGGAAUUGAUUAAACCGAGUUCAUGGGUUGAAUGUGAUAGUCACCUUAAUGCUCGUAGUGGGAUAUUUAAAUGAAUAAAGAAUAAGCCGAGACUGGAGGAUGCCCUAGUAUGGGAGAAGACACGUACAAGGACUACGUCACUAGUAAAUUCGAUGUCAAAUGGGCAGAUGUGGAUUUCGUGUAUUCGAUAAUGAACAUCGGUGAGCAUUGGAUGGUCCUUGUAAUGGACAUUAAUAGAAGCCAUAUAUUCGUGUUCGAUUCACUUCCGUCAUACACACCAAUAAUAAAUCUGGGGACUUGGCUGGAGCCAUUAACUAUCACAGUACCAUCCCUACUUCAGUACUGUGAUGUGGAUCGUUCAAAGCCAGAUCUAUCCACAUCCCAUUGGAAAAGCACUCGACCUAUGAAC